rnacentral:tRNA from 1 species
GAUCUUAUAUUUUAUUUAAAAAUAUUAAAUUGCAAAUUUAAAGAAGAUUUUCUAAGAUUU